rnacentral:misc_RNA from 1 species
AAGUCGUAACAAGGUUUCCGUAGGUGAACCUGCGGAAGGAUCAUUACAGAGAACGUGCCCUUCGGGGUAGAUCUCCCACCCAUUGUUUACGUACCAUUGUUGCUUUGGCAGGCCCGUCCCCGGACCGCCGGCUUCGGCUGGCCCGCGCCCGCCAGAGGACCCCAAACUCAUGUUCUAAUUGUCGUCCGAGUAUCAUAUAAUAAGUUAAAA